rnacentral:rRNA from 1 species
UUGCACGCUGGCGGCAUGCCUUACCCAUGCAAGUCGCACGGCAGCACGGGUGCUUGCACCUGGUGGCGAGUGGCGAACGGGUGAGUAAUACAUCGGAACAUGUCCUGUAGUGGGGGAUAGCCCGGCGAAAGCCGGAUUAAUACCGCAUACGAUCUACGGAUGAAAGCGGGGGACCUUCGGGCCUCGCGCUAUAGGGUUGGCCGAUAGCUGAUUAGCUAGUUGGUGGGGUAAAGGCCUACCAAGGCGACGAUCAGUAGCUGGUCUGAGAGGACGACCAGCCACACUGGGACUGAGACACGGCCCAGACUCCUACGGGAGGCAGCAGUGGGGAAUUUUGGACAAUGGGCGAAAGCCUGAUCCAGCAAUGCCGCGUGUGUGAAGAAGGCCUUCGGGUUGUAAAGCACUUUUGUCCGGAAAGAAAUCCUUGGCUCUAAUACAGUCGGGGGAUGACGGUACCGGAAGAAUAAGCACCGGCUAACUACGUG